rnacentral:rRNA from 1 species
GACGAACGCUGGCGGCGUGCUUAACACAUGCAAGUCGAACGGAAAGGCCCUGCUUUUGUGGGGUGCUCGAGUGGCGAACGGGUGAGUAACACGUGAGUAACCUGCCCUUGACUUUGGUAUAACUUCAGGAAACUGGGGCUAAUACCGGAUAGGAGCUCCUGCUGCAUGGUGAGGGUUGGAAAGUUUCGGCGGUUGGGGAUGGACUCGCGGCUUAUCAGCUUGUUGGUGGGGUAGGGGCUUACCAAGGCUUUGACGGGUACCCGGCCUGAGAGGGUGACCGGCCACAUUGGGACUGAGAUACGGCCCAGUCUCCUACGGGAGGCAGCAGUGGGGAAUAUUGCACAAUGGGCGGAAGUCUGAUGCAGCAACGCCGCGUGCGGGAUGACGGCCUUCGGGUUGUAAACCGCUUUCGCCUGUGACGAAGCGUGAGUGACGGUAAUGGGUAAAGAAGCACCGGCUAACUACGUG